GAGGCUUGUUAUUUGGUUAGUAUAUCUUAUGCAUCAAUCAUGAACCAAAUUGCAAUUCAAAUAGUUGAUCUUAAGAGCCUCUAAUUUAAUAAAAAAGGGGGAGAAUGAUGUGUUGAAUUUUCUUGAGUAUCUUUGAAGUCAUUAAGAAUUAAUGAUCCAACAUGAUAAUAUUUUUUUCAAGUAUAUAAGUUUUGAUCUUAUACUCUGAAAAUUAAUUAAAUUGCUCUCAUGUUGAUAAAAUACUUAAUAUAUUGGGCAAAAGAUCUUAAAUGAACAAGCUUUCAUACUUAUUAUUGAAGAGAGGUUAGAUUUCCAUUCGUGCUUUCUUUGAAUAUCAUU
rnacentral:lncRNA from 1 species